rnacentral:rRNA from 1 species
AUACGGAGGAUGCGAGCGUUAUCCGGAUUUAUUGGGUUUAAAGGGUGCGUAGGCGGUCGGGUAAGCGUAGGGUGAAAGUCCUCUGCUCAACAGGGGAAGUGCCUUCCGAACUGUUGUGCUUGAGUAAAUUCGAGGUAAGCGGAAUUCGUAGUGUAGCGGUGAAAUGCAUAGAUAUUACGAGGAACUCCGAUAGCGCAGGCAGCUUACCAGACUUUAACUGACGCUGAGGCACGAAAGUGUGGGUAUCAAACAGGAUUAGAUACCCUGGUAGUCCACACAGUAAACGAUGAUUACUCGCUGUUUGCGAUACACAGUAAGCGGCCAAGCGAAAGCGUUAAGUAAUCCACCUGGGGAGUACGCCGGCAACGGUGAAACUCAAAGGAAUUGACGGGG